CGAAAAAAAAUAACAAUACGCCAUUAUUUAAUACCUAUCCAUAGCUGAUGAUAAUGCUGUCAUUAAAUUGUUUAAAUAAUUAGAUCAAGUUGUAUAAUACCCAGUGAAUUUGUUGUUUUUAGCCGUGCAUCUUAUUGCUUCGUUGUUUCGAUUAACCUAUUUUAUUUGGCAACCGACAAAUUGUUUAAUAAUUAUGAAGUUCUCGUGUGUGUGACGUCUGAUUAGCCUCAUCGUAUAACAGUUAUAAACAAUUAUCAUACUGUCACACAGUAUUUUCAUCAAUAAUUAUAAGUUGUUUACCACGUAAAGUAUCAGCCUUAAAUUACUACGUGGAGAAAAUUAUACCAACAAACCCCGAGGUUCAGCUAACCUCGGACACCAACCAUACAUACAUAACGUCGUUUAAAGAACCCUAAUUGGAAUCGCAAAUUACAAUCAGAAGAAAGAAGUUGAACCAUUUACAUUAACCGAAAACAAAGUAUAAUCUAAAACACAAAGCAAUUUCAAAACCAAAACCAAAACCAUAACAAUAACCAUAACCAUAACCAUCACCAUAACCAUAACCAUAACCAUAAUC